UAACCUACGGGACGCAGCAGUGAGGAAUAUUGGUCAAUGGGCGGGAGCCUGAACCAGCCAAGCCGCGUGAAGGAAGAAGGCGCCAAGCGUCGUAAACUUCUUUUGUCGGGGAACAAAGGGCGCCACGUGUGGCGUUGUGAGUGUACCCGAAGAAAAAGCAUCGGCUAACUCCGUGCCAGCAGCCGCGGUAAUACGGAGGAUGCGAGCGUUAUCCGGAUUUAUUGGGUUUAAAGGGUGCGCAGGCGGCGAGUUAAGUCAGCGGUAAAAUUUCGGGGCUCAACCCCGACGAGCCGUUGAAACUGGCU
rnacentral:rRNA from 1 species